GAUGAACGCUGGCGGCGUGCCUAAUACAUGCCAGUCGAGCGAACGGACGAGAAGCUUGCUUCUCUGAUGUUAGCGGCGGACGGGUGAGUAACACGUGGAUAACCUACCUAUAAGACUGGGAUAACUUCGGGAAACCGUAGCUAAUACCGGAUAAUAUUUUGAACCGCAUGGUUCAAAAGUGAAAGACGGUCUUGCUGUCACUUAUAGAUGGAUCCGCGCUGCAUUAGCUAGUUGGUAAGGUAACGGCUUACCAAGGCAACGAUGCAUAGCCGACCUGAGAGGGUGAUCGGCCACACUGGAACUGAGACACGGUCCAGACUCCUACGGGAGGCAGCAGUAGGGAAUCUUCCGCAAUGGGCGAAAGCCUGACGGAGCAACGCCGCGUGAGUGAUGAAGGUCUUCGGAUCGUAAAACUCUGUUAUUAGGGAGGAACAUAUGUGUAAGUAACUGUGCACAUCUUGACGGUACCUAAUCAGAAAGCCACGGCUAACUACGUG
rnacentral:rRNA from 1 species